rnacentral:tRNA from 1 species
GGGUGAUUAGCUCAGCUGGGUAGAGCAGUUGACUUUUAAUCAAUUGGUCGCAGGUUCGAAUCCUGCACGACCCACCA